GGAUAGCUCAGUUGGUAGAUCAUGAGACUCUAAAUCUCAGAGUCAUUAGUUUGAGUCCCAUGUUGGGCA